rnacentral:rRNA from 1 species
CGAAAGCCUGACGGAGCAACGCCGCGUGAGGGAUGAAGGCCUCUGGGCUGUAAACCUCUUUUAUCAAGGAAGAAGAYCUGACGGUACUUGAKGAAUAAGCCACGGCUAAUUCCGUGCCAGCAGCCGCGGUAAUACGGGAGUGGCAAGCGUUAUCCGGAAUUAUUGGGCGUAAAGCGUCCGCAGGCGGCCUUGUAAGUCUGUUGUCAAAGCGUGGAGCUCAACUCCAUAUCGGCAAUGGAAACUGUAAGGCUUGAGUGUGGUAGGGGCAGAGGGAAUUCCCGGUGUAGCGGUGAAAUGCGUAGAUAUCGGGAAGAACACCAGUG